UUUGUCAGCCUCUCAGCCAAGCAUUAUGUUGUCAUAGUGAUGAUGCUGUCAAGUUCUAGCCAGCAGAUAAAUGGCAGACAACUACACCAAGUCUGUCAUAUUCAGUUAUACCAAUCUGUUGUGCUGUAAAGACUUAUGAGAUGAUGUAGCACCAUCAAGAUCAAGUCAAUCAGUACUGAUGACAGGAAUCAUCCACCAAGGAUAUUAACAUGAAUAACAUGGUUUAGAGAUUGAAAUCUAGAAACAUCCAGAAAUUUCUAACCAAAAAAAAAAAAAAUUUAGCAUUUUUCAGAAAUUAAAAAAUUGGGGAAAAAUGAAAAGUUACUACCUCUAGGCCUAGGAGAAAAGUAUAUCUUGUAUAGACAGAAAUGUCAAAGAAAAGAC